AAUCAACGCUGGCGGCGUGCCUAACACAUGCAAGUCGAACGCGAAAGCCCCGAAAGGGGCAAGUAGAGUGGCAAACGGGUGAGUAACGCGUGGGUGACCUGCCUUCGAGCGGGGGAUAAC
rnacentral:rRNA from 1 species